rnacentral:snoRNA from 13 species
UUGCUUAAUGAUGAUUACCUUUGUAAUUCUUGAUAGGAAGAGUAUGACACAUAAUGAGUACUAUAAAAUUAACUGAUUCGCAAUCUU